GACGAACGCUGGCGGCGUGCUUAACACAUGCAAGUCGAACGGAAAGGCCCCUUUGGGGGUACUCGAGUGGCGAACGGGUGAGUAACACGUGAGUAACCUGCCCUUGACUUCGGGAUAACUUCAGGAAACUGGGGCUAAUACCGGAUAGGAAUCCUUGCUGCAUGGUGGGGGUUGGAAAGCUUCGGCGGUUUUGGGUGGACUCGCGGCUUAUCAGCUUGUUGGUGGGGUAGUGGCUUACCAAGGCUUUGACGGGUAGCCGGCCUGAGAGGGCGACCGGCCACAUUGGGACUUAGAUACGGCCCAGACUCCUACGGGAGGCAGCAGUGGGGAAUAUUGCACAAUGGGCGGAAGCCUGAUGCAGCAACGCCGCGUGCGGGAUGACCGCCUUCGGGUUGUAAACCGCUUUCAGCAGGGGCGAAGCUUUUGGUGACGGUACCUGCAGAAGAAGCACCGGCUAACUACGUG
rnacentral:rRNA from 1 species